UACGAAGGGGGCGAGCGUUGUUCGGAAUUACUGGGCGUAAAGGGCGCGCAGGCGGCUCUGAAAGUCAGAUGUGAAAGCCCCGGGCUUAACCUGGGAAUUGCAUUUGAUACUCUGGAGCUUGAGUACGGGAGAGGAGAGUGGAAUUCCCAGUGUAGAGGUGAAAUUCGUAGAUAUUGGGAAGAACACCGGUGGCGAAGGCGGCUCUCUGGACUGUAACUGACGCUGAGGCGCGAAAGCGUGGGGAGCAAACAGG
rnacentral:rRNA from 1 species